AUAAACGUGUGAUUGAAACUAUGCGUAGAUUAUAUAUUUAGCUUUCAGCUUUGUUUAUGUAAAAUUUUUGUAAUGUUAAUGUAUGUGUGAUGAAUGCUGUGGAUUUUGAAGUUUGGUUUUACUAUGGUUUAAUGGAAUUGGAUAUGAUUUAGAAUUACAGUCUAUGGAGAUGAGUGAUAUAUGAUGGAUUUGUUUUUGUGAAGUGGGGUUUUAUGUUAAUGACACGAGCACAUGACUGUUUGACAUGUGGGCUGUGGCAAAUUAAAUCAGCUGUGGCACGUCAUUUAGCGCUUGUUUGAGUUGAUGAAUCGUGAGUUCAUCAAAUUUAGAGGUGCUGUGUUUGAAUCCAUAGAAAUGCCCAAUUGCCACAUUAAUUAUAUGUCAAAUUCACAGUGCCAUUUCUUUCUUUAGAACCGGGGCCAAGAAUGUUUAUAUUGGUACGGGUGGGAUACAGUUGCAUGUAAGGGGGCUGAAUCCAAUCCUCUUUUUAGUGGCUUUUUUCCCUACUUUAGUUUUUAGGGAUCAGUGAGGAAAAAUCAUAGGGGAACAUUCUCACAUUCCAUUGAAUUCUUUAAUUUCUUCUUGAAGUGCCAAGUGUGGGUUUUUUUUAACAUCCUGAACACUCCCCCUAAAAAGAUGCUGAUAAACAUAAAUUACAUUAAAAUUAAAUACUUCUGAUAUCAAGAGUCAAGAAUAAUAAUGCAAAAAUUCAAGUUUUGGUUGAGGAAUGUGCUUUCCUAGUCUUUUUACUUUAUUGAUUUACACUGUAAUUAGUGCAUUGAG
rnacentral:misc_RNA from 1 species